GCUACCUGCAGUCGACGGCAGCACAGAGGAGCUUGCUCCUUGGGUGGCGAGUGGCGGACGGGUGAGGAAUGCAUCGGAAUCUGCCUAUUUGUGGGGGAUAACGUAGGGAAACUUACGCUAAUACCGCAUACGUCCUACGGGAGAAAGUGGGGGACCUUCGGGCCUCACGCAGAUAGAUGAGCCGAUGCCGGAUUAGCUAGUUGGCGGGGUAAAGGCCCACCAAGGCGACGAUCCGUAGCUGGUCUGAGAGGAUGAUCAGCCACACUGGAACUGAGACACGGUCCAGACUCCUACGGGAGGCAGCAGUGGGGAAUAUUGGACAAUGGGCGCAAGCCUGAUCCAGCCAUGCCGCGUGUGUGAAGAAGGCCUUCGGGUUGUAAAGCACUUUUGUCCGGAAAGAAAAGCGCUCGAUUAAUACUCGGGUGUUAUGACGGUACCGGAAGAAUAAGCACCGGCUAACUUCGUGCCAGCAGCCGCGGUAAUACGAAGGGUGCAAGCGUUACUCGGAAUUACUGGGCGUAAAGCGUGCGUAGGUGGUUUGUUAAGUCUGAUGUGAAAGCCCUGGGCUCAACCUGGGAACUGCAUUGGAAACUGGCUUACUAGAGUGCGGUAGAGGGGUGUGGAAUUCCCGGUGUAGCAGUGAAAUGCGUAGAUAUCGGGAGGAACAUCUGUGGCGAAGGCGACACCCUGGACCAGCACUGACACUGAGGCACGAAAGCGUGGGGAGCAAACAGGAUUAGAUACCCUGGUAGUCCACGCCCUAAACGAUGCGAACUGGAUGUUGGGGGCAACUUGGCCCUCAGUAUCGAAGCUAACGCGUUAAGUUCGCCGCCUGGGAAGUACGGUCGCAA
rnacentral:rRNA from 1 species